AUAUAAUUUUCGAUUUUAACUGUUAUUUUAUUAGUCGAAAUUAAUUUGGUAAAUACGUCGUUAGGGUCCUUUUUCGUUAUAAUAUUAGCUGGGUUAUUACGUUCGUUUAUCCAGCAGAUUUUUAUUAUUUCCCUAAUUUUAUACAAUUCGCGUAACAAUAUUACAUUUAUUAUUAAUUUUUUCUUUAUUGUAUUACCCAAUUUUAUUAAAUAAUUGUACAAAAAUUUGGAAUUUGUGCAAACGAUAAUUUGGAUAAAUGGUUGUCCCAAAAUUUUUAUUAUACGUGCGAUCGUUAUUGCAAAUAUAAAACCAUAAUCGAAUUUUGUGGUUAUACCGUACAAUUCGUUUGUUAACACGCUUUUUGUUACUUUUUUAUAUUUGGUGGAGGACCAAUGCACGAUAUUACCCUGCAAUUGGAAUUAUUUUUUGUUACGCGCGAUUUUUUCCCCCAAUAUUAUAAUAUAACCCAAUUGUAAAAUUAUAUUUUUAUUAUUGGCGAACGAUCCGUUUGUAAAAAUGUAUAAUUUUGCACGUUCCAGGUUAAUGGGCAGGUAUAUAAAUCCCCUGUUCGGGUUUUUUAUUUGCCAUACCAACCGUUUAUUUAAAACGGUAAUCGUUUUUUUGGUUAGUUGCUAAUUGUUUAGUGCUGCAAUUAACAAAUUGUACGCAAUUUUUGGUUGGUAAAUGGUAAUAACGUAUAUUUUUCUGGUUCGUUAUACGAUAAAUUAUUAUAUUAUAUUUGGUGCCUUAUGGUCGACGAAUUUAAAUUAUGUUAAUUAUCCUUUUUGGAUAAUGCGCACGCGGUUUUUUUGCAAUUGGAUUUUAUAUCCGUUAAAUUCCAAAUAAUUGUCGUGCGUAAGGAGCUGUUUUUUUUUUAUUUGGAAUUUUAUUGCGUGCAAUAUUUUCUUUUCCAGGGUUGAAAAAAUUGGGGUUAUAAUAAUAAACGUAUCGUUUAUUUAUAUAUUUGUAAUUUCAAAACAGUUCUAAUUUCCCGUUAUAUAUAACAAAUAUGGGUUAUACGAUAAUGGUUUUAUUUUUAGGGCGUUGCGGUGGUGCGUAUAAUAUAUUUUCCACCAAUAUAUACCUAAUUUUGCUAAUUUAUAUAACGAUUUUUUAAUCCAUAAUACCGUAUUAAUUGGGUAAUAAUGGCGAAUUUCCUUUAGUAAUUAUACAAUAAUUGUACGUUGCAAAAAAUCCUCGGAUUAUAUAUAUAUUU
rnacentral:sRNA from 1 species